AGUGAACGCUGGCGGCAGGCCUAACACAUGCAAGUCGAACGGCAGCACAAGAGAGCUUGCUCUCUGGGUGGCGAGUGGCGGACGGGUGAGGAAUGCAUCGGAAUCUGCCCAUUUGUGGGGGAUAACCUCGGGAAACCGGGACUAAUACCGCAUACGACCUACGGGUGAAGGCAGGGGAUCUUCGGACCUUGCGCAGAUGGAUGAGCCGAUGCCGGAUUAGCUAGUUGGAGGGGUAAAGGCCCACCAAGGCGACGAUCCGUAGCUGGUCUGAGAGGAUGAUCAGCCACACUGGGACUGAGACACGGCCCAGACUCCUACGGGAGGCAGCAGUGGGGAAUAUUGGACAAUGGGCGCAAGCCUGAUCCAGCCAUGCCGCGUGUGUGAAGAAGGCCUUCGGGUUGUAAAGCACUUUUGUUGGGAAAGAAAAGCAGCCGGUUAAUACCCGGUUGUCAUGACGGUACCCAAAGAAUAAGCACCGGCUAACUUCGUG
rnacentral:rRNA from 1 species